AACGAACGCUGGCGGCAUGUCUAACACAUGCAAGUCGAACGAGAGCUUCGGGUCUAGUGGCGCACGGGUGCGUAACGCGUGGGAACCUGCCCUUAGGUUCGGAAUAACUCCCCGAAAGGGGUGCUAAUACCGGAUAAUGUCUUCGGACCAAAGAUUUAUCGCCUUUGGAUGGGCCCGCGUUGGAUUAGCUAGUUGGUAGGGUAAAAGCCUACCAAGGCGACGAUCCAUAGCUGGUCUGAGAGGAUGAUCAGCCACACUGGGACUGAGACACGGCCCAGACUCCUACGGGAGGCAGCAGUGGGGAAUAUUGGACAAUGGGCGAAAGCCUGAUCCAGCAAUGCCGCGUGAGUGAUGAAGGCCUUAGGGUUGUAAAGCUCUUUUACCCGGGAUGAUAAUGACAGUACCGGGAGAAUAAGCUCCGGCUAACUCCGUG
rnacentral:rRNA from 1 species